GAUGAACGCUAGCUACAGGCUUAACACAUGCAAGUCGAGGGGAAACGAUAUUGGAAGCUUGCUUCCGAUAGGCGUCGACCGGCGCACGGGUGAGUAACGCGUAUCCAACCUGCUCACCACUUGGGGAUAACCUUGCGAAAGUAAGACUAAUACCCAAUGAUAUCUCUAGAAGACAUCUGAAAGAGAUUAAAGAUUUAUCGGUGAUGGAUGGGGAUGCGUCUGAUUAGCUUGUUGGCGGGGUAACGGCCCACCAAGGCGACGAUCAGUAGGGGUUCUGAGAGGAAGGUCCCCCACAUUGGAACUGAGACACGGUCCAAACUCCUACGGGAGGCAGCAGUGAGGAAUAUUGGUCAAUGGGCGAGAGCCUGAACCGGCCAAGUAGCGUGCAGGAUGACGGCCCUAUGGGUUGUAAACUGCUUUUAUAAGGGAAUAAAGUGAGAGUCGUGACUCUUUUUGCAUGUACCUUAUGAAUAAGGACCGGCUAAUUUCGUGCCAGCAGCCGCGGUAACAC
rnacentral:rRNA from 1 species